UAAAUAUCUAAAUUUAAGUAUAUCAUUUACAAUGAUAAAAUGUUUUUUAUAAACUUUAUUUAAUAUUUAAUUAAUUAUUAUUUUUAUUUAUAUUUAU
rnacentral:tRNA from 1 species